UACGUAGGGUGCAAGCGUUGUCCGGAAUUAUUGGGCGUAAAGAGCUCGUAGGCGGUCUGUCGCGUCGGCUGUGAAAAACUCGGGGCUCAACUCCGAGCUUGCAGUCGAUACGGGCAGGCUAGAGUUCGGCAGGGGAGACUGGAAUUCCUGGUGUAGCGGUGAAAUGCGCAGAUAUCAGGAGGAACACCGGUGGCGAAGGCGGGUCUCUGGGCCGAUACUGACGCUGAGGAGCGAAAGCGUGGGGGAGCGAACAGG
rnacentral:rRNA from 1 species